GCAUUAGGGAUUGACAGCUGACCCUAAUGUGACCCCAUGCUAAAAAAUCAGCUUGUGUGAGUUAGAGGCUCCAGCACUUUGACCCGUCAGAAGAUGGAAGGUGGGUGACCACUCAGAAUGGCUUGGAUCGCUGCUUUUCCUGGGGUUCUCGGCUGGUGUUAAGUCCUGAAAGGUCCAGGAAGAUCUCUUAUCAUUAUGGAUAUCCAUCAAUCAGGACCCAGCCAGACUGCCGCUCUCGUGCACAGAGGCCCGGCCUUGGAACAGAAUCAAGAGAAAGAUGAAAAGAACCUGACUCUUGGCCUAUUUCACUGAAGUCAGAAAGUGGUUUGCAGAAUGAAAAAGAGAUACCUACCCCAGACUGGGCCUGACCUUACCAGUGAGACCAGCUUCACCAGCCCCUAGAAGCCAGAUCUCCAAGCGCCUCCCUGAAAUGUACCACCAAUUCUUUCCAUGGCUGAGUUAAUUUUGGGUCCAAGACCAAAUGAGUAGAAAGUUUAGGAGGUUCUACGUAUUAGAUUACAGGUCUGAGCUGUGCACCUCUGGUUUCUUUAUGCCAUUUCAGUUCAGAUAGCAGGAAAGUGCAGGGGAAGGCCAGCUACUGUUUGAGGUGGUGAUUUACUUAGUGUCAAGGUGCUGCAAAAGAACACAUAAUUAUUGUAUGAACUUUCAACAUUUAGAAAGAACACAGGGUCAAUGCUUAA